rnacentral:rRNA from 1 species
AAACUGCGAAUGGCUCAUUAAAUCAGUUAUCGUUUAUUUGAUAGUACCUUACUACUUGGAUACCUGUGGUAAUUCUAGAGCUAAUACAUGCUAAAAACCCCGACUUCGGAAGGGGUGUAUUUAUUAGAUAAAAAACCAAUGCCCUUCGGGGCUCCUUGGUGAUUCAUAAUAACUUCUCAGAUCGCAUGGCCUUGCGCCGGCGACGGUUCAUUCAAAUUUCUGCCCUAUCAACUUUCGAUGGUAAGGUAUUGGCUUACCAUGGUUUCUACGGGUAACGGGGAAUUAGGGUUCGAUUCCGGAGAGUUAGCCUGAGAAACGGCUAACACAUCCAAGGAAGGCAGCAGGCGCGCAAAUUACCCAAUCCUGAUACAGGGAGGUAGUGACAAUAAAUACUGAUACAGGGCUCUUUUGGGUCUUGUAAUCGGAAUGAGUACAAUUUAAACCUCUUAACGAGGAACAAUUGGAGGGCAAGUCUGGUGCCAGCAGCCGCGGUAAUUCCAGCUCCAAUAGCGUAUAUUAAAGUUGUUGCAGUUAAAAAGCUCGUAGUUGAACCUUUGGCCUGGCUGGCAGGUCCGCCUCACCGCGUGCACUUGUCCGGCCGGGCCUUUUCUUCUGGAGAACCGCAUGCCCUUCACUGGGUGUGUUGGGGACCAGGACUUUUACUUUGAAAAAAUUAGAGUGUUCAAAGCAGGCCUUUGCUCGAAUAUUACAGCAUGGAAUAAUAAAAUAGGACGUGCGGUUCUAUUUUGUUGGUUUCUAGGACCGCCGUAAUGAUUAAUAGGGACAGUCGGGGGCAUCAGUAUUCAAUUGUCAGAGGUGAAAUUCUUGGAUUUAUUGAAGACUAACUACUGCGAAAGCAUUUGCCAAGGAUGUUUUCAUUAAUCAGUGAACGAAAGUUAGGGGAUCGAAGACGAUCAGAUACCGUCGUAGUCUUAACCAUAAACUAUGCCGACUAGGGAUCGGGCGGUGUUAUUAUUUUGACUCGCUCGGCACCUUACGAGAAAU